rfam:Triticum aestivum genome assembly, contig: Triticum_aestivum_CS42_TGACv1_scaffold_145945_2BS
AAUGCACUCCCUCGGCCCGGAAAUACUUAUGAUCAAAAUGGAUAAAAAGGGAUGUAUCUCAACGUAUUUUAGUCUCAGAUACAACUCAUUUUCUCCACUUUGAUGACAAGUAUUUUCGGACGGAGGAAGUAUCAU